GAUGAACGCUGGCGGCGUGCCUAAUACAUGCAAGUCGAGCGAACGGACGAGAAGCUUGCUUCUCUGAUGUUAGCGGCGGACGGGUGAGUAACACGUGGAUAACCUACCUAUAAGACUGGGAUAACUUCGGGAAACCGGAGCUAAUACCGGAUAAUAUUUUGAACCGCAUGGUUCAAAAGUGAAAGACGGUCUUGCUGUCACUUAUAGAUGGAUCCGCGCUGCAUUAGCUAGUUGGUAAGGUAACGGCUUACCAAGGCAACGAUGCAUAGCCGACCUGAGAGGGUGAUCGGCCACACUGGAACUGAGACACGGUCCAGACUCCUACGGGAGGCAGCAGUAGGGAACCUUCCGCAAUGGGCGAAAGCCUGACGGAGCAACGCCGCGUGAGUGAUGAAGGUCUUCGGAUCGUAAAACUCUGUUAUUAGGGAAGAACAUAUGUGUAAGUAACUGUGCACAUCUUGACGGUACCUAAUCAGAAAGCCACGGCUAACUACGUGCCAGCAGCCGCGGUAAUACGUAGGUGGCAAGCGUUAUCCGGAAUUAUUGGGCGUAAAGCGCGCGUAGGCGGUUUUUUAAGUCUGAUGUGAAAGCCCACGGCUCAACCGUGGAGGGUCAUUGGAAACUGGAAAACUUGAGUGCAGAAGAGGAAAGUGGAAUUCCAUGUGUAGCGGUGAAAUGCGCAGAGAUAUGGAGGAACACCAGUGGCGAAGGCGACUUUCUGGUCUGUAACUGACGCUGAUGUGCGAAAGCGUGGGGAUCAAACAGGAUUAGAUACCCUGGUAGUCCACGCCGUAAACGAUGAGUGCUAAGUGUUAGGGGGUUUCCGCCCCUUAGUGCUGCAGCUAACGCAUUAAGCACUCCGCCUGGGGAGUACGACCGCAAGGUUGAAACUCAAAGGAAUUGACGGGGACCCGCACAAGCGGUGGAGCAUGUGGUUUAAUUCGAAGCAACGCGAAGAACCUUACCAAAUCUUGACAUCCUUUGACAACUCUAGAGAUAGAGCUUUCCCCUUCGGGGGACAAAGUGACAGGUGGUGCAUGGUUGUCGUCAGCUCGUGUCGUGAGAUGUUGGGUUAAGUCCCGCAACGAGCGCAACCCUUAAGCUAAUUUGCCAUCAUUAAGUUGGGCACUCUAAGUUGACUGCCGGUGACAAACCGGAGGAAGGUGGGGAUGACGUCAAAUCAUCAUGCCCCUUAUGAUUUGGGCUACACACGUGCUACAAUGGACAAUACAAAGGGCAGCGAAACCGCGAGGUCAAGCAAAUCCCAUAAAGUUGUUCUCAGUUCGGAUUGUAGUCUGCAACUCGACUACAUGAAGCUGGAAUCGCUAGUAAUCGUAGAUCAGCAUGCUACGGUGAAUACGUUCCCGGGUCU
rnacentral:rRNA from 1 species